AACAACCUAGCCCUACUCCUCUGCACCGCCUGCAACCUAGCUUCCUCUGCACCGCCCGCGACCUAAUCCCUAACCCUUUAAAGCCACCAAAGCUUUCGCACGUCUUCCGAUGCCCCCACCCCGAUGAUGCUUGGAAGGCAAACACGCCCCCACCCUAACGAUCAAGUACUCCCUCACUUCGUCUCUCGAUUCCGACAUCUUCGAUCACUUUCUCGCCAACCUCGCUUCCCAAAUCGCCGUCGGAAAAUCUCACGCACAGUCAGCUACGGCAUGGUGUUCGUUGCUUUCAAUCGAAGCCCGACUUUCUACUUGGAGUUGCUGAGGCGCAUGGGAGUAGACGCACAACAUGUGGGUACACAGUAUGUGUGAUUGGGGAAGGCACUUCCUUUCUCUUUUCUCGUUGCAUGGGGUGAGAGCUCUUUUUAGAGCCUACGACAACGUCUUUUUUAGUGUCUCUGUUAUGUAUUUUUUAAGCUAUGUUUGUUUUAUGUAAAUGUAAAUUCUAUAAAUUUAGGCUAAAUUAAACACAAGAAACAAAUUCAAAUAGAAGUGGACUAUGAAAUUAUACAUUGUGAAGCUAAUCCAUUUUAUUAAUGCCUCAUAAUGGUAAAAGGUGAAUACGUUCGUCUCCAACGGCCCUGUCAACCUGUCCCAGGAUCAACACGGAGGAGGUAAAUCAUAGACGGUUAUUAGUCUUUGAGAUAAUGACUAGCACAUAAGGGAGGCAUUUACUCGACUUUGCCGAGAUUUAAAUAUCAGACCUCAUGAUGUCUCAUAAUGUCUUAUUAAUGCCUCAUAAUGUCCUUUAUUGCCCUGGUUAAUGUUAAAUUAUUAUGUCUGUGCCUAGCAAACAAUACAAGCUCAAUACUUGUAUCUGAUCAAUUAUUUAGAAGAUAUGCCAUAUAAACUUAAUAGAUCUUGGAACUCAAUCAUGUCUUGCUAAUGCUCCAAAUUCAGUUAUCAUUUCAAAGAUUAUGAAAUUUACAGAUUCCACACUAACCGUACAGAUCUUUGUCAAAUUCUUUUCCUUUGCAGCUUCCUGGUUCUUCAAAAUUACAAUAGUGCUGCCAACUUUAGUUAAGAAGCCUCCAAGAUGCAAUUAAUCCCUGCAUUUCACAUUUCAGGAACUAGAAUCAAAAGGUCAAUUUCAGAAAUAAAAUUGAUUUUUGGAUAUCUGGUUUCUCAAUUUCUAGUUUCAGAAAUCUAAGUUUAAGGGUGUUUUGGCUUGAAUCAUGAAGAGUUAUGUUUAUGGAAGAGUUUUAUUUAACACCGAAAUGAUGAGAGGUACUUGGGUAGGAUUAAGUCCACGUGGGUGGACUAAAUCUAAUUAAGUUCAUAUGAGUGAGCUUAAUCUCCAUAAGGUGGGCUUACAUUUAAUUAGCACACGCAAUUGAUUGUCAUUAAGGAAACUAAAUCCCAAUUAAGUGAUCUAAUACUUUAAUUUCAUAUAAAGAGAGUUUGGAUCAAAUUGAUAUGGAUUCAAUGUGUAGAUCCAAUAAUCCGCUUCAUUAACAUUGAUGGAUUGUUAAUAAGGGAUGAACUUUAUGAUGGAUAGUCCCUAUAGGUUGGGCUGGAUAUAUAAAGGAAGAGAUUGAUUCAAUUAGGGCAUGUUAAAUCUUGCUUUCUUCCUCUUGCUUCUCCUUCCCCAUUGAGAAGGACCUUUGGCUUGCUGGCUCAAUCCUAUGGAAGACUCUCGCUGCACUUGCAGGAUCUCCGGUGAUAGGUAAGAAGUAAUAGUCUUGCGAUAGAUUUAGUUCAUCUCUUCGUUAGUUAUUGUUUCAAUUUCAAUAUUACUUUAGAGACAGAUGAUAGUUAGAUCCUGGUGUAAAUGUAUCCUUUAAUUUAUUAUUGAUGUAUCACAAUUCUUACAUGUUGAACUUGCUAAACUUCAAGAUCGAGAGGUUGGAGAUGGGACAACAUCUAGUGCUUAUCCUUGCUGCUGAGUUACUUAAGGUGGCUUAGAGACUUCCUAUUGAGUUCUUUUUGCAGUUUUACAUUAUAUUGUGAAUUGUUGAUGGGUUGUUAUCCUUUGUUACAUAGAGCAAAUGAUCUUGUGAGAGAUAGGAUUCAUCCAAUGUUUAUAAUCAGUGGCUUCGGGGUAGUGAAUAACUAAACAUUUUAAAAAAUUUGUGUUUUUUUCUUCAGUAGUAGCCCAUGUACAGCAACAUUAGUUUCUAUAAGAAUUUUAAUUUAUAUAUAUAUAUAUCAGAGUAUAUGGUUUAUAAAAUAUGCCAAUUAUUGUUUCUCAAUAUCUCUUGAUAGCUUGUAAUGAGAGAGGCUUGCAAAUAUGUUGAAGAAAAGCUUUCUGUAAAGGUUGAAAAACUUGGCAAAGAAUCUCUUACAAACUGUGCAAAGACAAAAAUGUCCUCGAAAUUAAUUGCAAUUGACAGUGACUUUUUUGCAAAUUUGGUAAGCAGUGCACAUGUAUAUUAGUUAUGUUUGAUGCUCGUCAUUACCACCAAAAGAUUAGGUUUUUGAUUACAAGCAAUGAUCCAAAUGUUAUUUCUGUGGAGUUUCUAAGGUCUUAGAUCGCUUUAACUUCUUGAUCCAUCAAGUAGAAAGCUAUUUAUAUGGCAUACAAGAAGCAGUAUAUGUAACCAGUAUAGCAGUGCACAGUUUAAUAUGGUUUACCAUCCAAAAUACAAAUAAUUGAACAUUGGUAUUGCUUAAGACUGCAAAUUAAGUUUAUGUAAAGAUUGGGUGAAUCAACUGCAAGGUUAAAUAAGACAAUACAUCAGGUAGUAGUCUCCAUACUGACAUCACUACUGAUAAUCUGCCUCAAGUAUCAAUGACUUAUGAUGUGAUAUCUUUCCUUAUUUGAGUCAGUCAAUUAUAUGUGCUUGCCCUACGGAUGUAAUGGAAAUGAAACUGUAGGAUGGAUGCAAAGAUAAGUAAAUUGCUUCCACACUAAGAACUGAGGAUUGUGCAGGAUGGAAGAGAUGUAAAUCUACUUGGUCAAUAAAUUUUUUGAGCGUCCCUGUUUAUCUAUGGGUUUAAUUUGUUAGCUUAUUGUCUUUGUU